UGGCUCUUCCCAUCAUUGUGAAGCAGAAUUCACCAAGCGUUGGAUUGUUCACCCACUAAUAGGGAACGUGAGCUGGGUUUUGACUGUCGUGAGACAGGUU
rnacentral:ncRNA from 1 species